rnacentral:lncRNA from 1 species
ACCUCUAGCCAGGGACGCGCGCUCGGUCCCCCGCCGUGCGCCCCCGGUCCCGCGCCCAGGCUCCCGCCCCUGGCCUCCUUACCAGCCACUUGUCGCCCAGCUGCGAACUGGAGCGGGAGGCGGCGGCCGGAGGGCCCAGGACAGCCCCGGGAGGGCGGCGAGGCGGAGCAGGAGCGCCCCGGCUCCGGCCACAUUCUCAGAGUCAGGAAAAGGGGCGAGAGGCCACAUGUCUCCCUCUCGCCCAACUGAAAACGAAACGGCGCUCCAGCAGAUUGGGUGGAAAGAGCUGGGUCUCUUUUCUCUGUUUUUCACGCUAGAAAGGGCUUGUAAACAUUGUUCCUUUUAAAAUGACCUACCCCAGGCAUUUGUUUGGGCACACUUCUGUCCUGGGGUCAUCGUUCCUAGGUGGCUUCGGACCUGGGACUUUUCCUGUAUCUGCACAUUGUCGUUUUAUACACAAUUGCCAAGGUGGGACUGCUUUCAACUUUACUGUGCUUGAAGCUGCAAAGCGGAUCCUGUUACAGUGCAAAGAAGAAAUGGCAAACGGAUAACAGCUACUGUGCCUAGAAGAUGGUUCUGCCCUGAUGUUUCCUGGAAUAAUGCUGAGGACUGCCUUUCGGGUAGCCGCCCUAUUCAGUUCACUUCAUCUCGGAAAUACCUGACCCCUGCCUUGGAUCCAGCGGCCCUCCUGAGAGCUGAGGAAGGAGGAAAUCCUAUGUGUCUGCUCCCGGAGCUGCCACAACCCAUCUUCCCACAACUCGGAACUUGGAAAAAGGAACCCAGGACACGACUUUGCUUUUCUUUUGGACCUAGUUGAAGUCACAGCUUGGAGGAAACCAGUUUGCACUAUUUGAUGAGGAAUUUGGCCACCAAACCACUGAUACUUUCCCAAAGAUACAAGUUAACAGGAUAUGCUUCUGGCCUGUUUCUGGAUUCUAAGGGUAGAACCAGCAUAAAACUAGUCAGUCCAAGUAUUUCUAAAGAUCCACAGACACAGUUCUCCUGGAUUUGGGAAGCCUAGAGAUAUUAGCACAAUAAUUAAGGCCCAACAACUUUUAAAAGCCUUUCCACUGCACAGUGAAAGAAAACCACAAACUCCUUGUUUAAUAAGUGGGAUCACGUGCUUUUAACACGAGGAAAAGGUCAAUCUGAAGCAACUGAUAUGGAACUGCCAGAGUAGGAGUUGAAAAUCUUCCUAAACUGCUGGAGGAUACACCUCUGAUAGCUUGAGACAAAUAUCCUCUUGAUCAUUGUUUCACCAUAUUUGUCUUUGCUCAUGGAGAACCAUUUUGAUCCGUGGUUUAGCCUCCCAGGUGAUUGAACAAUACCGGUGAUCUGAGGCAGACCCUCUGUGACGGAUAACAGGAAAGAAUAUUGAUUGAACAUCUACUCAAGAACUGCAAAACAGAGAUUACCUGACCUAAAGCAUUUAUAUUGCCAAUCAUGUUGGAGAGUCCAUGUGGUGAUUUCUGAAAACGAGAUGUGAGAAAGAAGAGGAUAAUUUAAGUCUAGACCUACAGAUUGUGCUGAUAAAGUGAUGAAGAACUACAAUCUUCUUAGUCAUUUCAUUGUAUAAGUGCAAUAAAGGAUUUUGUGUCUUUCCUGGCAAACAACUUGUGACCACAGUGAUGGCUCCAGCAGAAUGGAAAAGACCCUUUACCUCACAUCUCAGAAGUAAAGAUGCUGAUUAUUUGACAUCGCCAUUGGAAUCUCAAAACAGUGUAAAGCAUUUGCUAAAAAGAGUCACUUUCUGAGAAAUGACUCAGAAUUCGACUUACGUACUAGCAGAACUUAUUGCCCAUAAAAGGAAAGGCCACACUUUUUGUGAAAACUUAAUAAUCCCUAGGAUGUAAAAUUAUACUGAGUUAAAUCCUAGUCCCAUUUUUAGUACAAGAAACUGGAAAAAAAUAAUCCACUCUCAAAUGGUAAGACAAAUUGAGAUAUUGCUGAAAAGCCUCUUGACCCUGAAAAGUUCUGAAUAAUAAACUGAUAAAAGCAGCAGCAGCAUCUAACUUGACACCAGUCAUGUCAUUUG